rnacentral:rRNA from 1 species
UACGGAGGGGGCUAGCGUUAUUCGGAAUUAUUGGGCGUAAAGGGCGUGUAGGCGGCUUCGUGUGUCCCAUGUGAAAGCCCUCGGCUCAACCGGGAACUGCAUGGAAACUGCGGAGCUUGAGUCCGGGAGAGGUGAGUGGAAUUCCCAGUGUAGCGGUGAAAUGCGUAGAUAUUGGGAGGAACACCAGUGGCGAAGGCGGCUCACUGGACCGGAACUGACGCUGAGGCGCGAAAGCGUGGGAGCAACAGG